GAGGUUCCUCAGAGGGGGAAGGGGAGGACGAUCCUACUCAGUGAAUUUCAUAAAAAUAAAAAUAGUGAAACAUUAAAAAAGUGAUCCUUUAUAGAUAAAACUAUAGUAAAUAUAUUCAGGUGCCCAAAUAACUGAGUAAAACACACUGUUUUGCAAUGAAGGUCUACAGUAGCCUCAACAGCACUCUCUGGUGUAGCACCAUCUCACCCCUUUCCAUCGACUUAUUGUAAUUAUGCCAACUUCUGGAGGAUGUCCUCCAACCUAUCAGAGCUUUUGCAGCAUGAAAAUACAUGUUGUCCACUGAAUCAGAGGAUCAGAUAAUGAAUCUAGUACUGAAAGCAAAGCUAACACUGCAGUGCAUAAAAUGUGGUGUGUAGUUGACUCAGAGCUAGAAAGACAAUAGUUGAACAGUUAACAAAUAUAUUUUUUCAAAAAUUAAGGAGAAGAGAGUAUUUUUUUCCACUUUCACUUACUAGCUAAUUUAGCCUACUUAUACAUCCGGCUCAAUGGAACUCUUCCAAGUCAAGGUAUUUGGCUUCUGGAGACUAUUUGCAGCCUGGCCUUCGCCUAUCGUCUUGGAUUCGAGACAGUGUCGCAGUGCAUUAUGGAGACCUGUGAGGCCAUAGAGAGGAAGAUGCUGGCGAUCCAUCUGCCAUGACCCACUGAGGAAACCUGGAGACAAACUUCAAGAGUUUCAUGAAAAAUGGGACUUUCCCAAUUGUUUGGGAUCGGUUGAUGGAAAACAUGUUAUGAUCACCAAACCACCAAACUCAGGGAGACGUUUUUUUAAAUUAUAAAGGAACCUUCUGUGGUGUUACUCGCCCUUGUGGAUGCCAAUUACCACUUCACAGCUAUUCAAGUGGGGGAUUUUGGGAGAAACAGUGAUGGAGGAGUCUAUGCCAACUCCCCACUUGGAAGGGCAAUGGCAUCAAAAACACUGCAGGUGCCUUUCUGCCUGGGGGUGAAGAUUUAGGAAAGAUACCAUACACAUUGGUGGUGCACGCUGCCUUCCCACUAAAGCCCUACCUGAUGAGGCCAUAUGCCGGGCAUAACAUCAGCUACGAGAAAGAAAUCUUCAACUAUUGUCUCUGUCGAAUGACAGUGGAGAAGGCAUUCGGGAUCCUUGCGGCCAGAUGGAGAAUCCUCUACCAAAAAUAAACCUACUGCCAAGCGAGGUUGAUACCCUAGUGGUUGCAAUGUGCAUCCUCAAUUUCCUCACAAGCCUUUUGAUGUGGAGAUGUGGUUACAGCAAGGUGGGGCAGGGAUGAGGCAAGGCAUGAGAGGCAUAGCCAUCCAGGCCAAUAGAGCAGGUCAGGAGGCAGUUUCUGUCAGACAAAAGUUUACUAAGUAUUUCACCUCUGUGGAAGGCAAAAUUGACUUCCAGGACAGAAUGGUUGUAGCUAGGCCUACUUACUUAGAUGCACUGUGUGAGAGUGUGUGUGUGUGUAGUUUAUCAACUCGGGAUAGUAAGUUCAACUUUGACAUCUUCAUUUGUUUUGUGUAUUCAUUCUACACUUUAAAACGAUUGUACAAUUCCACCAUUAUUUCAACAACGAACAAAAAAUGUACAUGAACAUUUGAAAAAUUGAAAUACUUGUAAUUUUCAACAACACAAAAAUCUCACAUGACUGUUGGCUUCAGAGGAUUUAUGUAUUAAUAAAAGCAUACAGCACACAUGGCAUUUACAUUCAGCUAACGCUAGCUAGUUUGUUUUAUACCGAGGAUGAACAUUGGGUUGUUAUACUUUACCUGAAAUGUGCAUGGUCUUUGCAAUCUCUCUCCAUAACGCAUCUUUAUUAGUUGGAUCCUUGUUGAAUUUUGAAGACGGGUCAUAUAAAAGUGAGUACUUCUCUACUUCAACGAUAAAUCUCUCCUCGUCCAUGUUUCAAGCACCCACGUUGGCUUUUGUUUACAGGAAGUAGGGGACGGACGUAUGUUUGUUGUGAGAACCAAUGAGUUUAUGAGAGGCGGAACUUCCAGACUUGAUAUGUCGGUUUGCAACCAAUUUAAGGUGCAUUCCGCCACCAACUGGACUGGAGUGUGUACCUUGCAGUUAGUCUUUCAGUCACACACGUGGGUAUAACCAAUAAGGAGAUGACACAUGAGUACCUGACAAACCAAUGAGGAGAUGGGAGAGGCAGGACUUCAGUGCAAUCUGUGUCAGAAAUAGAAUUGAUUUCUAUUUUAGCCCUUGCGUCACAGACGCUCGCGAGCAGUGGGUGCAAUAAUUGAAUAACAUGGAUUUCUAAAUUUAUUUUGCAACACUUGGGCACGCGACGUGUCCGUGUAAUGGUUUUCUUGAGUUGAAGGAGAGGCGGACCAAUACGCAGCGUGGUUACUAUUCAUGGUUCUUUAAUAAAGCAACAACGCAUGAACAAAUUAACAAAACAAGUGAAAAAAAAAAAAACCCAAAACAGCCCUAUCUGGUGCAAACACAGAGACAAGAACAAUCACCCACAAAACCCAACACCGAACAGGCUACCUAAAUAUGGUUCCCAAUCAGAGACAAUGACUAACACCUGCCUCUGAUUGAGAACCAUAUUAGGCCAGACAUAGAAAUAGACAAACAAGACAUCCAACAUAGAAUGCCAACUCAGAUCACACCCUGACCAAACAAAACAUAAAAACAUACAAAGCAAACUAUGGUCAGGGUGUGACAGUCUGGUCUGGUCAGCAUGUUAUGAUUAACUUAGACUCAGCAAAUGAAGAUAAGUAAAAUAUUUUUCAGUGGGUUAUACUAGACUAGGUCAGUGUGUUAAUGCUGCUGGACCCCAGAGUACUGAACAAUGUCUAGCUAAUCUAACACAUCUGUUUCAACUCAUGAAGACAGAACUAUGUCAGAGAGAUGCCUAUAUUGUCCAUUACUGUGCUGGGUCGGAGAAGGACUGAGAAACAUUUGAGUAAGCUGGUUCGAUUGCACAUGUGAAGAUUUGGGAUUUCUGUUUAAAACCAGGUAUACGUGGCAGAGCAAAAAUAUGUGAAACUGUCUGAGCUGACAUUUGAUUCUUUCUUGAAAGAAGGCGUGUGUGCGUUACCUUAGGUUUGAUGGUGCCUUUAGUUAGUUAAGUUGUAUUUUUCUUCAUAUUGACACUAGUCCCCAACUAUUUCACCUUGACACACAAUGUCUGUGUUUUUUUUCUUCUUCAGUUUUCAUCAAAUUCAGCAUACCAGAGGAAAGACAGUCUGACAUCAACGUGUAUGACCAGUCUCACACAGAAAUUGACUCAGAGGUGUUUGAAGGGAUUGCAAAGGAGUCACCUGGCACCUUCUGGACCACUCUAGGCGAUGAAGGACUUGCUUUUCAAUCAUCAUCGUCAUCCUCUGUAAGAUCUGAUGACACUAAUUCUGAAUUUCACUGUGUGACCAUCAUGAAGAAGCAGCCACUGGUGAAGGGAGCCAACCCAAAAGAUAGUGCCAGAUAAACUAAGGCUAAAGCGUUGAUUGAAAGAAUCCGAACAUCAAAACCUGGUGGUGAACGCAUCAUACAAGAGUAUGGAAAACCAAGACUCUGACAGAUGCCACCAGAAGGCAGAUGUCAGGAUGAUGUAUGCACAGGGAAUUGUUGCAUUGUUUCCUUAUCUCGAAGACUCAUUUUCAAAAAAUGUAUAUGUAAGUAAAGUAAAAGUGUCUCUGGAACAUUACGUACAUGAUCAGUCUUUGAAAUGUAUGCAUUUAUAUGUAUGUAUUAUGUAGGAACAUUACUAUGAUCAAGAGAGUGGGUCUGGAUACAUGGCAUGAUUGAAGACCAUACAAAAAAAAGCACAUUUCCCGAAGUUGGUGGGCCAGGCCAUGGUCGAUAGCCCUUUCACCCGUGACGAAGUGCCAACUAACGAAGACAUCGAGGCAGCCAUUGCUGUUUUUAGAUUUUCUGCUGAUGAAGACUCUGUCCGGGAGAAGAUGAAGACUGCCUUCCCUCAUUGCCAAGCUGAUGCAGACAAAUCAGCAGAUGUCUUCUCAGUCUUCCCCAGGGUAUUGGAUAUACCAGGACUGAUAGAACAAGACUUCAGGCUUCUGUUUGGUGAGGCCACAACCAACAAGUUCUUGGAGAAGUGGCCAACCACUUUCAAGGGAAAAGUGAUGGAAAGUGAUGGACUUACACCCACCACAGAACUCUUGGAAUUGAUGUGCAAUGCUGAGUCAGCUGUUGAAAAUGAGAAUGGACAGAUGUCUGCAUGUCAAGGGGUUGAUCAGCUCAUCAGAUUUCAAAAGGUUGGAACCAGUGUGCAGCAGCAUCUGGAUAGCAUCACCCAAAGCGGUCAGCCCUACCUUCUUGCCUUGGGAUCCAUAAAGAGCAGCAUUCACUCCUACUUUGUUGUGAUCGACAAGCAUGCGGUUCCAGUAGGAACCUUUGACGAACUCUUUAAGGCUCACUUCAUCGUUGGUACAUCAUACAGUUCUUGCCUGAGUAACUUCUUCACUUUUGUGCAAACAACCAUCUACAACAUUGAUAUGGGGGAAACAAAGGAGACUCCCCAAGUUGCUGAGUUGAGAGCAAGAAUGUUGCGUUAGUGAAGAUCUGCUAAGGUGAAAUUAUGAAGUGUUUUCUAUGCAAGACUGAGCAUACAAGUUCCGCUUCAAGUGUCAAUCAGAAAAUUAUGAUUGUAUAAUAAUAAUAAUAAUUGUCAAGCACCUUAAAGUAAUUAAUGGACUUUGUCCAGGGAGAACUCUUUAUCUAAAAUGUGGUCAAGUGGGAUGUUCACGUUCCUUUGGUAGCUUUUCUGGUUUUAGAAAGCAUUUAAGUAAUUGCCACAUUAGCAGUUUAUUUGGUUCAGUCGGUGGUGUUGAUUUUUCAAACUCUCAAAGCACCUUUAACACUUGUAAAGGUAGUGAUGUUGGAGAAGUGUUGACUGAAAAUGUAGAGUGAGUCAGCGACGUCUUCCCCAGACAUUGUAAAUAGUUGUGCGUCUGUAAUUGCUGAUCUAAAGGCAGCAGGUGUAGGUCAAAGUACAGUUAAUUCUGUUGUGAAUUCCAUGGAAGAGAGAGUUCAUGAUAUCCAACAGCGAGCUAAAUAAACUUUCGUUAAGCAUGUUCUAUGUGAUGAAGGACAAACUGAAAUAUCCAAGAAAGGAGGCAUCUUUUGAAGGGUUAGAGAAUCCUUUCACUGUGCUAAAUUCUGAAUACAAGAUGUCCACAUUUUUCAGAGAAGUGGGAAACUGUAGAACCAGUUGAACAUGUCAUUGGCUCAAGAUUUGACACAAGACGAAACAAAAAGACUGGAACAUAUGACCAGAUUGUAGUUCAAGACAAAUUCAUGUAUGUUCCAAUAUUGUCUACCUUGCAGUCAAUAUUCAAAUGUAAACAUGUUUCAGAGAUGUUUCGCUUUCCUAGUGACACAAGACUUGUGUGAUGGAUCUUUUAUUAGGAGUCACCCUCUUUUCUCAACAGAAAGACACGUCAUACAGAUUCAAUUGUUCUAGGAUUAUUUUAAGGUUGCAAACCCUGUGGGUUUCAAGUGAGGAUUUCAUAAAUUGGGUGCUAUAUAUUUUACUUUAAGGAACUUCUCUCCUAAAUGGAAUUCUUGUUGGGCUAACAUAUACCUGUGUGCCUUAAUUCAUGCUCAAGAUCUUAAAUGUUAUGGAUUAGGGCAAUCCUUGCUCCUAUUGUUUGAGACAUUAAAGUGUUAGAGUGAUGGCAUUGUGGUUCCUUUAUACAGUGGUUGUGUUCAUGGCAGUGUGGUUCAGGUUACUGGCGAUAAUCUGGGUCUACAUAGUUUGUUUGGCCUGGUGGAGUCUUUCAGCGCAAGUUAUUGCUGUCUUGCAGAAAAAGAUGACUCAGACAGAAUUCUCUGAAGAUUGUCCCAAGAUAGCGUUGUGAACUAAAGAAAUGCACACUGCUCACUGUCAGAGAAUGAAUAGAAAUCCAUCUCUUCCAUACGUUUUUGGUGUGACGCAUUCGUGUUUAUUAAACUGAGUAUUAUCACAGAACUGAGAACUUCUCAGUUGAUGUGAUGCAUGAUGUGUUAGAGGGUGUGGCCCAGUACGAGUUGAAGUUAUUUAUCUGAAGAAAAAACAUGUAACAUCAGCAGAAUUAGAUUUAAGAAUACAAAGUUUGAUUAUGAUUAAUGGAAAGAAACAAACCCGUGGCUGUGAAUUUAUCAGAAGGAUCGAAUGAUUUGGGGCUUAAUGCAAUUCAGUCACAGUGCCUACUGAGAAACGCUCCUCUUAUUUUGGGGGAUUUGGUAACUUCUACUGAACAGCACUGGGGCCUACUCCUUUUAUUACUUUAAAUAGUUAACAUAAUAUUUUCUCCUAUGUUAACAGAGGGUCUCUGUGUUUAUUUAAACAGUUGUUUUCCCAGAGAGAACUUUUACCAAAGCACCAUUUUCUAAUCCAUUAUCCCCGCUGCAUCUAGAAAAUUGGACCUGUAAUUCAUAGUUGGUGUAUGCAGUAUGAAGGUAAGCAUGCUUUUUUGAAACUACAAUCUUAAAUAAAAAUUUCAAAAAACUAUAUGGCGUAUAAUUGGCAAUCCUCUACACUUUUUAGUCAAUAAGACAUUGGUCCUGUGAAAUGGUGCCUUUGAAUAUGGUAAAAGCUGGUUCUAUGAUUGCUGUGGCAAUUAGCACUCAGGUUAUGAAAGUGGACUGGGCUAAAUACCAUGGCUUUGUUUACCGCCCAAGCAUGUUAUCUGUUGUAAAAUUGAAUUUGAAAUGCCUCCGUUUUAUCAAAUGGAAAAGUGUUGCUGCUCACAGUGCCUUUAAUUACUCUAGCUUUUCAAGAACAUUUCAAUGUGUACAAAGUAACCAAGUCAAAACAUGGUUUUGUUUUCUUUCAUGUCCGACAACCUGCAUUAUCAUAGACCAUUUGAUAUACAAAUGUCGUAUGGAAGGAAUUAGAUAUCUAUUUGUUGUCCCAUAUUGCUUUCUCUGGUGAGCAUGUCACUUGCGAUGUUGACAGUGUAAAUGGUUACAUUGAUUAAAGGCAAGGUGAGGGGUGGGUUGAUGUGCAUUAACAUUGAAAUGGAUUACUUUUAUCAUGUGUAAUUGUGUUUAUUCACAUUGACACCAAGUUAAGUAAUUGGGUAAUACUACUGUGCAGUGGAGCUUUCUGGAUAACACUAGAGAAAAAAAAACAAGUGUCAAUUUUAACACAACUUUGAGUAUACUUGACUCUGAAAAGCGUGAUUAAAUAACACUGCAGAGUGCAACUAAACCAUUGUUGAAUAUGAUUACACGUGUGAAUUUUAACACCAUUUUGAGUCAAAUUAACUCUGAAAAUGUGACACUGUAGACUGGGACCAAAUGUUACCUGAAACAGUGUUGAAUUCAACUCAAAAGGAGUUAAAUUAACACUUAUUUUUACUGUGUAUUUGAACUAAGCAAGCAAUUAAAAUGUUCAGUUUGCAUCU
ensembl:lncRNA